CUCAUCCUGCCACCCAGCCGUUGGUCGGCGGGGGAAGCCAGAACACAACGUGUCUGACUGACUCUGAGGCGGAGGCUUUUCCACUGGCCAACCACACACACACAGAAACCAUUCAGCUCAUCAGAGCUGUCACUCUAAGCCGCCGGAAAAGAGACGUGUGUGUGUGUGAUUUAUUUAGUUAAAGACGAUGGAUAAACGUUUUAAUCAGAACUCACAUUAGUGUCAUGUGACACUUGGCUACGUUCAAUGUAGUUGAUGGAUAAAGUGAUUGGUUCAUAUUGUCACGUCCUCUGUGUCUCUCCUGUGAUUGGCAGAUGUCAACGAGUGCAUCAAGAAGAAUGGAGGAUGUAACCACGAGUGUAACAACACUAUGGGUAGCUACCAUUGCUCCUGUCACCGCGGUUACAUGCUGGUCGGACCCCAGAGGUGUAACGACGUGGAUGAGUGCCAGGAUCCAGGUAUGUGUGGGACAGCGAGGUGUGUGAACCAGGAUGGAGCCUAUGACUGUCUGUGUGAGACGGGAUAUGUUACGACAACAACACCAAGACCUGCCUAGGUGAGCACUACACCAAAAACACACUACUCAGUACUGACACAUUAUAUACACCAAGACCUGCCUAGGUGAGCACUACACCAAAAACACUCUACUCAGUACUGACACAUUAUAUACACCAAGACCUGCCUUGGUGAGCACUACACCAAAAACACACUACUCAGUACUGACACAUUAUAUACACCAAGACCUGCCUUGGUGAGCACUACACCAAAAACACACUACUCAGUACUGACACAUUAUAUACACCAAGACCUGCCUAGGUGAGCACUACACCAAAAACACACUACUCAGUACUGACACAUUAUAUACACCAAGACCUGCCUUGGUGAGCACUACACCAAAAACACUCUACUCAGUACUGACACAUUAUAUACACCAAGACCUGCCUAGGUGAGCACUACACCAAAAACACACUACUCAGUACUGACACAUUAUAUACACCAAGACCUGCCUUGGUGAGCACUACACCAAAAACACACUACUCAGUACUGACACAUUAUAUACACCAAGACCUGCCUAGGUGAGCACUACACCAAAAACACACUACUCAGUACUGACACAUUAUAUACACCAAGACCUGCCUAGGUGAGCACUACACCAAAAACACACUACUCAGUACUGACACAUUAUAUACACCAAGACCUGCCUAGGUGAGCACUACACCAAAAACACACUACUCAGUACUGACACAUUAUAUACACCAAGACCUGCCUAGGUGAGCACUACACCAAAAACACACUACUCAGUACUGACACAUUAUAUACACCAAGACCUGCCUUGGUGAGCACUACACCAAAAACACACUACUCAGUACUGACACAUUAUAUACAUGUAAUACAUACUAUAAUGUAUAAUACACUAUAUACAGAGCAUUCAGAAAG
rnacentral:lncRNA from 1 species